rnacentral:snoRNA from 1 species
CUAGAUGAUGAUUUUACAAAAACAAAGCUGGAAUUACUGGCUGAUUCUCUGUGAUGUAUAAGUUUUUGCACUACACUGAUA